rnacentral:rRNA from 1 species
GACGAACCGUGCAAACGUUGUUCGGAAUCACUGGGCUUAAAGGGCGCGUAGGCGGCUUUGCGUGUCUCCCGUGAAGUCCCUCGGCUCAACCGAGGACGUGCGGAAGAAACUGCAAGGCUCGAGUCCGGAAGAGGGGGGCGGAAUUCCCAGUGUAGCGGUGAAAUGCGUAGAUAUUGGGAGGAACACCAGUGGCGAAGGCGGUCCCCUGGGCCGGAACUGACGCUGAGGCGCGAAAGCGUGGGUAGCAAACGGG